rnacentral:rRNA from 1 species
GUGAGGAAUAUUGGUCAAUGGACGGAAGUCUGAACCAGCCAUGCCGCGUGCAGGAAGACGGCUCUAUGAGUUGUAAACUGCUUUUGUACAAGGGUAAACCUGAAUACGUGUAUUCAGCUGAAAGUACUGUACGAAUAAGGAUCGGCUAACUCCGUGCCAGCAGCCGCGGUAAUACGGAGGAUCCAAGCGUUAUCCGGAUUUAUUGGGUUUAAAGGGUGCGUAGGCGGAUUGAUAAGUUAGAGGUGAAAUGUCCGAGCUCAACUCGGGAACUGCCUCUAAUACUGUUGAUCUAGAGAGUAGAUGCGGUAGGCGGAAUGUAUGGUGUAGCGGUGAAAUGCUUAGAGAUCAUACAGAACACCGAUUGCGAAGGCAGCUUACCAAUCUAUAUCUGACGUUGAGGCACGAAAGCGUGGGGAGCAAACAGG